GCGUCUUGAGUUGGUCCACACAAGAACUCCAGAGGCCAUCAUUAUGUUCGCGUCAAGCAAUAUGUAGCAGUUUACACUCACAAGACUCCAUGUGAACAACAAGAUGCUUUACUUCUGUUAGGAACACCCAUGAAGGUAAAGAGGAAAGGACCAAGACCUGAAAUAACUUGUUUGGCCAUGUGGCCGCCCUCCCUAGCUCACUGCCUCUAGCUGACCUGCUGCUGCUCCAACCUGUUGUGGAGUGGCUGCCUCCUCGUCGCCGAAAUCCCAGUGGUGUCACGCCAUGGACGUUCAUCCACAUUCCUAGUAACCAGGUAUCAACAUUUUCUGAAGGUGUCAUUGGAUGGAGCACUAUGCGGCCCGUCCAAGUGUGGCUCCGCAUGGUCUAUCGCCGACUGGCUCGAGCGGUGUGGCUUGCCUCCAAUCCACCGUGAUCUGGCGGUUCUGGCUCUGGCAGUUGCUGGUUGUGGCAUAUGUAGUACUGUUCCUGUUCUUGUAAUCCUCAAUGCAUGAAUUAUCUUGUACAAAUCAGAAGGCUUUAUUCUCAACUUGGACUUGCUGUAUUUAGUUCAAUCAUCAUAUAGGUUAAGAGUUGUAGUCGGUACUUCAUUGUUUGCUGGGAAAUGUCACAUGAGUUGUGUUGUGUAUAUUGGUCAUUAUGUGUUGUUCGUGAUCUCAUUGUCCAAAGAAGAGAGGUCAUGUCAAUUUGUUUGUGUGCUAAUUACCCUGUAAUUGAUUAGCUACCUUUUCUUUCCCUCAAAUGGUCUAGCAGAUCGUUGAGUCAGCUGACCAUGAAUUGGACUUUUUGUGUUGCAUAUGCACUUUUGGGUCAGG